CAGCGCGGUGUUGGUGACAAUUGCAUUGGUUUCUUUAUUUCCGGUGCGCGGAUGUAACUUGUCUCGGGUUCGGCAUUGCCCGGUGCCAAUCGCAGUGGGGUUUGGUGGGGUGACAGUCCGUGUUACUCUUGUGACUGCUGUGCAAUCCAUUGCUUGUGGGAUGCGAGCAGGCCACUGACAUAAUUCCUAGGGUUUAGGUCGAAAUACGAAGAGUGAAGAGCAAAUUCAUUCUGUUUCACAGUUAAUGAGCACCUGUGUGCCGUAAAAAUCUCUGCUCCAUCUAGAUUAAUCGUAUUGAUAAGACACAGCCCUGGAUGUUACUACACGUACGGCUGUCCCACCAUUUCAGAAGAAUAUUGGAGGGCACGGAGCCACUUCCAGUCCUGUACCCGCUUCCCCAACACUUUCUUCGUCUGGUGAUCUUUUGCCAGCUCGCCCACGUCCUCACAGAGGACACUGUCCCAGCUGGCGGGCAGAGCACACGGUAGGUCCCUCUACACCAGAGCCCGAGCCGUGCUCCUGCGCCCUGGAGUGGGGGUGCUUAAACUGCAGGGCAGGGCAGGGUGGUGGCCACGGAUGCUGUUCCUGGUGCGUUCUCACUCUUAAGAAAAGCGUCCCUGCCUCAGGAACGUUCUAUUUGAGGUCAUUCUUAGGCUACCUCACCUAUGAUUCAUUAUGAGAUGACAACUCAACAAUUCCUGACACCAGCUUCCAUCACCGACUUGUUUUGUUUUGGGAUAAAUAGAAACUAAAGAGAAAUCAAGAUCCCUUCCACACAUCUCUUGAUCUUCACCAGACUUGAGAACGUGUAGCUCUUAGAGGUGGAGCAGCGCUGCCACCGGUGCGAGCGAAUCCAUCUCCUCGGCCACCGCUCGCUCCGCUCCUCCCGCGCUGCCACCGCUCCCUGGGACAGGCUCUGGCACCUGGGCGGCGGCGUGUUCCCAUGGCAGCUCUGCCGAGGACCACGGCUGUUCUGGCGAGUGCCGAGGACGUGGCUGUGUACCCGUCCCGUUGGGAGG